CAGGCCAGGAAUGUCCCUCCUCUCCAGUCGAGGGACAGGCUAGUUCCAGCUGAGACACACGCUCCCCCCAGCCCCCAUGACAGAGCAAGGACAGGUACUAAUAAAUGAGAAGAACUUUGGGAGCCUCUGUGUGUCCUCGGUGGGCAACGACUGGGAUCCUUGGGGGUGCCCCUCCUCCAUCAAACUGGGCGGGGGUGUCAGGAUCACCUGAAAAGGCGGCCAAGGGUGACCCAAGCCCUGAUCCCCUGUGGGACAACGAGGAGCUUAACUAGCCCCGGGCUGCAUGAAAGAGGAAGGGAGGCCAGAGAACAAAGCUGUGCCAAUUUGCUCUUUGGGGCAUUGUGCAAACUGGCCCCUUUCCCAGCGUAUCACUCUCCCAUUGAACAAGGUCAAGCGCCGCCACAGUCCUUCCGCAGCCCUGAUGGGUUUUCAGGAGCUGGUGAAUGGCGUGCAAAUUAGCCAAGUCCUCGGGAGCCUCGUUACUGUCACUCCCAAACCGAAGCUCCAGAGGCAACGUGAGGAUUAAUCAAUCCAGAAAGCUCGCCCAUUAUCAAAGCAAGGUGGAAGACACACCUACACUUCGACUGACAGUUCAACCCUGACACGUGUCAACGUAUGGCAGAACACCUCGAGGUUGGCAGCCCUGAACCCACACCAGCAAGUGACCAGUGAGCAAGCAAACAUGGUGUCUAGUGAGCAGUUACGGCAUAUACAGUCCAUGAGGAACUGGAGAAACACCGCGUUAAGGGAUUCGGAAUAAUCUCUGAAAUGAACAGACAGGCCAAUAUCCAGCGACUCUAUAAAUAUAAAUCUAAUGAGUUCGUAGCUAAAGAAUGAGUCAGCAAAUUUAUCUACUAAAUAAAGAUGAGCGAGUGAGUAAAUAUUUAAAGAACGACAGUAAUUUGUGUCAUUAACCAACACGCACAGGGUGGGCCACUUAGCAAAUAUCUAUACAAGCGAAUGCACAGAUAUCAAAUGAAUAAACAAACACAUGAAAAUGCAAA